rnacentral:rRNA from 1 species
UACGGGGGGAGCAAGCGUUGUUCGGAUUUACUGGGCGUAAAGGGCGCGUAGGCGGUCGUGACAAGUCACUUGUGAAAUCUCCGGGCUUAACUCGGAACGGUCAAGUGAUACUGUCGGACUAGAGUACAGAAGGGGCAACUGGAAUUCUCGGUGUAGCGGUGAAAUGCGUAGAGAUCGGAAGGAACACCAGUGGCGAAGGCGGCUACCUGGCCUGAUACUGACACUGAGGCACGAAAGCGUGGGGAGCAAACAGG